UUAAAAGGCCAGGGCCCCACCUGACCCCAUGCCGAACUCAGAAGUGAAACGCCGUAGCGCCGAUGGUAGUGUGGGGUCUCCCCAUGCGAGAGUAGGGAAC
rnacentral:rRNA from 1 species